CUACGGGUUGCAGCAGUGGGGAAUAUUGCACAAUGGAGGAAACUCUGAUGCAGCAACGCCGCGUGGAGGAUGACACUUUUCGGAGCGUAAACUCCUUUUAUAUAGGAAGAAGAUGACGGUACUAUAUGAAUAAGCGCCGGCUAACUCCGUGCCAGCAGCCGCGGUAAUACGGAGGGCGCAAGCGUUACUCGGAAUCACUGGGCGUAAAGAGCGUGUAGGCGGAUUAAAAAGUCAGAAGUGAAAUCCUAUAGCUUAACUAUAGAACUGCUUCUGAAACUCUUAAUCUAGAAUAUGGGAGAGGGAGAUGGAAUUUCUGGGGUAGGGGUAAAAUCCGUAGAGAUCAGAAGGAAUACCGAUUGCGAAGGCGAUCUACUAGAACAUUAUUUACGCUGGGACGCGAAAGCGUUGGGAGCAAACAGGAUUAGAUACCCCAGUAGUC
rnacentral:rRNA from 1 species